rnacentral:rRNA from 1 species
CCUACGGGUGGCUGCAGUGAGGAAUAUUGGGCAAUGGACGAGAGUCUGAACCAGCCACGUAGCGUGAAGGAUGACUGCCCUAUGGGUUGUAAACUCCUUUUAUAUGGGCGUAAAAUGUUCCACGUGUGGGAUUUUGUAUGUACCAUAUGAAUAAGGAUCGGCUAACUCCGUGCCAGCAGCCGCGGUAAUACGGAGGAUCCGAGCGUUAUCCGGAUUUAUUGGGUGUAAAGGGAGCGUAGGUGGGUUGUUAAGUCAGUUGUGAAAGUGUGCGGCUCAACCGUAGAAUUGCAGUUGAAACUGGCAGUCUUGAGUACAGUAGAGGUGGGCGGAAUUCGUAGUGUAGCGGUGAAAUGCUUAGAUAUCACGAAGAACUCCGAUGGCGAAGGCAGCUCACUGGACUGCAACUGACACUGAGGCUCGAAAGUGUGGGUAGCAAACAGGAUUAGAUACCCUAGUAGUC